AGCUUCCCUUGAGGACCCCCAAUCUAGGACAGAUCUCUUUGUUUUAAGUUUUCAUUAACCAUAUUUCUUUCCUUAAGAGCAAUUACCUCCAUUUUUAAUUACACGUUCAUGAGUGUGAUUAUUUGAUAAAGAUCCAUCGUUCCUACUGGUCUCCAGGCUCCAUGAGAGCAGGGGCGAGUCUGUUCACCAUUGUAUCCCCAGGCCCUUACCCGCUGCCUAACACAUCACAGAACAUUCUUGGAAUGAAUUUUAGAGAGGUAGACACUGAGUGGGAAACACAGACAACUGUGAGUCACAGGUUUUGUUUUUUUUUAAAGGUCAGCACAUAAGAGGCUAAGGUAAGUUAUUCCCCAAACUUUAAGACUAGGUUACUCAAAAUCAACAUGUAAUGGAUGAGAUUAUCUGAGCACAGAAUGCAGAGGAAAAAGUCCUAACAUCUUGCCAAAACCACAGAGAAAGGGCAGAACAGAUUUUGGAACCUGGAGUAUAUAGUCAAAAAUCAGAGCAAUUGGGAGAGGGGAGCAGGGGGCAGAGAGGUCCUGGGUCAAAUGCUAUCUCUAGAGACUAGUUUGUAUUAUACAUGGUCUCUCAGACCAUGUUAACGGGCACAGCUAAAGGGGAUCCAGAGUGAGACAGGUCCCAUACAGCAACCGUAAAAGAUGAUUCGCGAAUGUGCCAGGGAUGGGGCGUUGGGAGCCACCCAAAUGUGUCAGAAAAGAGCAGUAGUUGACAGUCUGCCUGAUGAAAGUGCAUGACAUCUACAAGAAGGGAGGCCCGAGUGUCAGAAUUCCCCAUUCCCUGUUUGUUGGAUGGAGGAUUGGUGCCCCGCUGGCUCACAGCACCUGAUGACACUGUCCAUGAAGAUCGUCCCCCCCCCCCCCGGUGCUCUGGUCUCAGGUCACCCGAAAAUAUUCACUGGAAACUGCAGCUACAUUACCUUACAUGGCAAAAGGGACUUUGCAGAUAUGAUUGAUAAGGACCUUGAGAUGAUUACCCUGGAUUAAUUAGAUAAACCAAAUGUAACCACAAGGGGGAGGCAGGAGCACAGAGUUAGAGACUGGAAGACGCAAUGCUGCUGGCUUUACGAAAGAGGGAGGUCUUCAGAAGCUGGAAAAGUAAAGAAAACAAAUUCUCCCCUAGGGUCUCCAGAAAGGACGCCGCCCUGCGCACACCCUGAUUUUAAACCAGUGAAGCUGAUUUCAGAUUUCUUACCUCCAGACCUAUAAGAUCACACUGAAGUCUAAGGACCAUCAGCCUAUGAGCCGAAGCCCAGGAUCCUCAGCGUGGCUUCCAAGGCCUGCACCAUCGGACCCUGCCUCCCUCUGGCCUCACCUCUACCAGCCAGGUGGAAACAGGUUGAAGCACAUUUAAUCUUUAUUAUUAGCCCUGACUUACAGAUGAAGAAACUGAGGUUCAGAACUCAUCACCCAAAUUCAGACCCACCCAACAAUGAAAUAAGUCCUGAGCUUCAUAGAUGAGGGACACGUGUAAGACAACGUUAUGCCUUCAAUGGUUUGCAAUCGAAAUCAGAAUAAACAACAUGGACAGUAAUUAAAAAACAAAAGAUCGAGGGAGAAGAGAGAACAGUUAGGACUGAUAUUGAUAAAAGAAGUUUCCUUGCAGGAGACAGGUCUUGAGUUGGGCUUUGGAAGCUGUACAAUAAUUACAUUCAGGGAAAGACAUGAAAACAUUCUAAGGGUGACAAGGUUUAUUUGCUGUUUUUUUUUACACAGUACCAGAGCAAUAAUUUGAACUCACUUCAGUAUUCAUCACUAUUUCAUUUGCAUCCUACAUUUUAGAAAAUAGGCUAUUUUAAGAGUAGUGUUAGGUUUACAGCAAUACUGAGCAGAAGGAACAGAGAUUUCACGUAUACGCCCUGCCCACACACAUGCACAGCUUUCCCACUAUAACAUCCCCCACCAGAGUGGGACAUUUGUUACAACUAAAGAACUUACAUACACACAUCAUUAUCACACAAAGUCCAUUCAGACAAAUAAAUAAUGAUAUGUAUCCAUGUAUUAUGGUGUCAUACAGCGUAGUUUUGCUGCCCUAAAAAAAAUCCUCUGUGCUCCACCUAUUCAUUCCUCCCUCCUCCCCUCUAAUCCCUGGCAACCACUGAUCUUUUUACUGUCUCUGUCCUUUUGCCUUUUCCAGAAAGUCAUAAAGUUGGAAUCAUACAGUACGUACCCUUUUCAAAUUGGUUUAACUUAAUAAUAUACUUUUAAAUUUCCUCCAUGUCUUUUCACGGCUUGAUAUCUCAUUUCUUUUUACUGUUGAAUAACAUUCCAUUAUCUGAAUGUAUCAUAGUUUAUGGUAUCAAUUCACCUUCUAAAGAACCUUUUGGUUGCUUCCAAGUUUUGGCAAUUAUGAAGAAAGGUUCUGUAAAUAUCCAUGUGCAGGUUUUUGUAUGGACAUAAGUUUUCAACUCCUCUUGGUAAAUAAAUACCAAGCAGCAUGAUUGCUGGAUCAAUGAUAAGACUAUGUUUAGUUUUGUAAGAAAUCACUAAACUGUCUUCCCAAGUGGCUAUACCAUUUUACAUUCCCACCAACAAUUGAUGAG